GUGUUUUCCUUCCAGUUUGGGGGUUUUCACACUGCAACACAGAGGAGAGUAUGUGGGGUUUUCCAUAAGGGGAUGUACUUCCAUCACAAGUUGACUUAUAGCCCUUCCAUCCUGAACCAACUGACAUUCUGUGGAGUGAGGCUUUCUGGUUGGCAGAAGUGCAGCACUGCACUGUGAACAGCAUUCUCGUAACAGUCUGUGAGUCACAACCUUACCAAUCAGAGGCUGAGUUCCUCCCCUACCUUCCAUUUUUAGGAGGUACCGGUUUUGUCCUGUGGGCUUAGCUUCUGGCUUUACAGGUAUUCAUUCCGUUUCAGCUGCUUUGGAUCAUUCUGGGAUUUCAGGAGCCCACCCCAGCGGAUUUACAGCAGACAGUGCUUCAUAGGGCUCUACGAGUUUAUUGUAUUAGCAGUUAUUUGCGCGUUGAAUUUGUUCAGUAAGUCUCUUCCAACUCAAGGUGUUGGACACCGAAGGAUACACAAGAAAUCCCGAGUCAACACCCAGUUUCCAAUCCUCUUCUCAACUGCCUUUGUCCAAACAGAAAGUAAGGCUGCAUGUUUUUGGCUGUUCACAAGACUGCAUUUAACCACCGGGGGAGGUCCCCAUUGGAUAUUAGGAAGAACACCUCUGCUGAAAGAGUGGUUGGGCACUGGCACAGCUGCCCGGGGAGCUGGGGGAGUCAGCGUCCAUGGAGGUGUUCCAGAACUGUGGGGAUGUGGGCUGUGAGCAGCUGGGGGGGUGGACGGUGGCACUUGGUGAUCUUAGAGGUCCUUAUCAACCAUGACUCUGACUCUGAUAGCAAUGUAGGGCCACACUUGACAGCAGAAUGCAGUGCUCAUGGGGCUCUGCAGACAGACACUGGUUCUAUCUUUGCCAUUCCGAGGACCGCACGCUGCUCCCAGUUCCCUGACUGCCCGUAACUGCCUCCAAAAUCCCAUAGUUUCCCUCUCAUUGCUUGUAAACUUUUAGGGAUACUGGAGGGCAAUAUUUCAUGAUGCUGUCAUACCUCUC
ensembl:lncRNA